UGAAUUUCGCAAUCGUCGCGUCGUUCCACCACUGGUUCAAGUUGCCAAAUCUGUAAUAAUCGAUAAGUAUAUAAAUCUACAGUGGUUUUUACGGAUGUUCCGUUAUAAAUGCUGAACAAUGCAUCCGAUUGACUUGAAACUUGGUAUCCAUGUAGAAAAUACAUGUACUUAAUGGAUUGGCUAAUAUUUAUACGAGUGUUGGACUCCCUACACCAGUUGCGGGGGCGUUAAUGACGAGAAUCUUUGUAGAGGUCCGUUUUGUCGAAUACGCUUUUUUUCAUCGAUGGAGCAUGGGGUUGUAUGAGCGACUUCACAUGUGGUACAGUAUUCAGUAUACAGUAAAAAAAAACGAUCCGGUAAAUUACGACAUUCCGUUUUGUCAUCAAAUGUUGGAUAAACAGAAUACGUAUCCGUCAUGUUUCCGUACAAUUAUACAAUAACCAUUAUACUAAUGUGUGUAUAUAUUUGAGGAGAAAUAAGUCAUCGCAAGGUUUUAAGGCUUCGGCAGCCUCGAAGAACUAAACCUCUUCCAAAAGCACCGGAAGGGCGUGGGACCCCAAUACGUUUAUUUUCCCAAGAACACCUCAUGAGGCCACGACCCUCAGCCUUGAGGAUUAUCGGCCGAAGGAGGAUGUAAUAGCAAGUUCACCUGUCGUAUUCUCUUCCUUGAUCGUCAAAGGCGUGGGUCAGCUCGUGUCCCAUGACGACCCCCAUGGCCCCGUAGUUCACGCACUUCGGGUUGUCCCCAUCAUAGAAAGGCAACUGCAGGAUCCCGGCCGGAAACACUAUUUGGUUCUUCGUGGGAGUGUAGUAAGCGUUUACCGUUGACGGAGUCAUUCCUGUGUGAUCCAAAGGAUUUUGUUAAAGUAUUGCUGGUGAUAGGACGUCGAGUCCGCACGGGUAGGUACCACCACCCUCCCUAUUUCUGCCGUGAAGCAGUAAUGCAUUUCGGUUUGAAGGGCGAGGCAGCCGUUGUAACUAUAGGUACUUGAGACCUUAGAACUUAUAUCAUAUUAUAGAUGUCUAUGAUCUGGCAACCGCUGUAACUAUAUUGAGACCUUAGAUCACAAGGUGGGUGGCGGCAUUUAGAUUAUAGAUGUCUAUGGUCUCUUGUAGAUGCAUAAAAAAUAAAUAAAUGAAUAAAAUGUAAAAAAUGGCA